rnacentral:rRNA from 1 species
AGCCAUGCCGCGUGUGUGAAGAAGGCCUUAGGGUUGUAAAGCACUUUUAGCGAGGAGGAAGGGUUCUAGUGUUAAUAGCACUGUGCAUUGACGUUACUUGCAGAAGAAGCACCGGCUAACUCCGUGCCAGCAGCCGCGGUAAUACGGAGGAGAAAACAAGCGUUAAUCGGAAUUACUGGGCGUAAAGCGCACGCAGGCGGUUUGUUAAGUCAGAUGUGAAAUCCCCGCGCUUAACGUGGGAACUGCAUUUGAAACUGGCAAGCUAGAGUCUUGUAGAGGGGGGUAGAAUUCCAGGUGUAGCGGUGAAAUGCGUAGAGAUCUGGAGGAAUACCGGUGGCGAAGGCGGCCCCCUGGACAAAGACUGACGCUUCAGGUGCGAAAGCGUGGGGAGCAAACAGGAUUAGAUACCCUGGAAAGUCCACGCUGUAAACGAUGUCGAUUGGAGGUUGUGUCCCUCGCAGCCGCGGUUGGCCGG